CCAGGGGUGCCGGCGGGGCCGCGGGCCCGGCUCCCCGCAACGGCGGCGGGACCCCGAGGGGCUCUUCCCGGGCGUGCGCGCUCCCGGCGGGGGGGAGCGGACGCCCCCCCAGCUGCCGCUGCCGCUGUCCCGGCCCCUCGCAUCUCGCCUUGCCGUGCCGCCCCUGGUCCGGCUCCAGCGCGCACCGAGUGCCGCAGCGGCUUCCCUUUAAGGACCGUCCCUCUUUUUUUUUUUUUUUUUUUUUUUUUUUUUUAGACACCUGAAAAGUAAGUAUGGGCGAGAGUCAUUUUCUACACUUUUUUUCCGUCUUUGUUAGCUUUUGUUAGCGAAGUUUCCAGCAACCUAAGGGCCAGGUUUCGUUAUUUGCACAGCUAAUCCCUUCGGAACGGAUCAAACUAAAUCACUUUGCAGCAAACUGUUGCAAGCGUUCGUCCCGCCGUCGGUGCAGACCGGCCCCCGACGGGGCUCUGCGCGGCGGCUUUGCUGCUUCGUCCCGGCUGUUUGCUUCUGGAAGAGCUGGGGCUUAGCACUUGCGAAACUGCAACUGUGCAUCUUUACCUCGUUGCUUAAAAUACUUGUUCUCUGCGCCACGUUUCCCCGUCGUGCUACGCUGCCUUACUAAAGCUGCUUUAGAAACCGGGUCUGUCGGUGGCUGCAGUUUUUGCUCGCGCACUGGAAGCGGGGGUUCCGGCCCUGCCGCCGUGCUGGGCCCGCGGCUGCCACAAACCGCCCGGGGGACCGGCGGGAAACGCGGCGUGCGGCGGCAGGGCCGCUUCUGCACGGAAGCAGGCUGGGGUAAGCAGUGAUGUGUUGCUCAAAACGAAGCGAUGGGUUUGCACGCUGUUGUGCACCACCUCCUGUUAGCGAUACGCCCACGCUCCUUCCCCCCCCAAAAAAAGAAAAAUUCUGUCCUGACUGGGUACAAGACCCGUGUUAAAAAGUCCUCAAAAGAGAAAACACAAAGCUCCUUUGCGGGUUAUAUUCUUACAUUUACUUCCAUUCGUAUGUUAAUGGUCUCGGUUGGGCACAUUCAGUGUGUGUGUAAAUGUUUUCAAGGCUGAGACAUACCUUGCUGCUACGCACACAUCCUUUAUUUCUCAAUUCCCUUGAAUUCAGCUAUAAAUAAAUGCAUUACAGAAAUAGUUAGAUAGCGUCAUCUUCAUUAUAACAUCAUAUCUGAGCAUAUGUGUCAGUGGACAGUAGAAAGUGCCUAAGGAAGGACAUUGUAUGAUCCCUUAAUACCUGAAUGCAACCGUCUGUGGCUUCAGCACUCUCAAAAUCAGAAGCAGUGCCUUACUUUUAAUGAUUCUCAGUAUAUUUUUAUUCCACAAAUUUGUCCAGUCGUUGGGGUUUUUUUUCUAAGUCAAUGUAGGCUUUUGGCAAGGGCAGAGUACGACAGGAAGAGGUCCUUGCUCAAUGCAACCUGACUGCGUUGUGUGAAACGUGAGUUUGGGUUUUUUAAAGUUUCCUGUCUGGCUUAAGAUGAUAUUCUUGCCGUUUUGGUAGAGACAAUGAACAGCUGCUCUCUGGUUACCUUCUCCCUUCAACUCAUGAUUUUGUAUCUUGCCUCAGUCUUGUAUUUUCCAGGUUGCAGAGUUUUAGUCCAUUUGAUUUUUUCACGUUACUAUUAAUGUCUUCUUUUAAUUAUUUUUUUUCCUGAGCACUGCUAUAUGGUUUUGGAGAUGAGGAGACCAGGAGUUACACACAGUGUUGAAGACAUAAAAGCAGUCAAUAUAAUGGUUUUCAUGUCAUUAUCCAGUUUUUUCCUUAUAAUGGCUGUCAUUUAUUUUUCUUGCUCUGUUAGGGAAGGGAGAAAGCAGAUAAACUGAGCAUUGUAGUAAGUUGCUCUGUUGAGCACUGAACAAAUAUUGAACAUUGUUUUCAUGGCAUUAACUAUAUAGAUCCCAGGAUCUAUUUUCUGACAGUUAACAUUUACGUCCGCUAGAUAGUUUUAUAGGCAAGGAUAGGAUUUUUUUUCCCCUGUGUUUACAGUAUAGUUCUCUACACUAAAUUUCACCUGCCUGUGCACUCAGGAUUGGGAGGCUGUGUGCAGAUUCCCUCAGCCACCUCUGUUCUACUACUCUCAGUAAAUUAGUACCAAGAGCAUACUUCACCACCUCACUAUUUAUUUGAGUUCAGAUCAUUUAUCAUUAAUUAAUUAGCUUUUAUUUCUGUGGCAUGUCUGUGCAAAAACACCCUGAAGAAAUGUAUACACAAUUCACUCAAAUGUAAUGGGAGUAUAGUUGUUCUCUAGUAGCGCCACUGUUGCCUAACAGUGCACUUCCUAGCAUAUUCCAGGCCCCUGUCCUGAGAGUUUAGCAAUCUAAUCAUGAACAAUUGCAGUAAAAAGAAAACGUGGUUUCAGUAGUUUAGCAUCUAUCAUAAAUUAGAAGAACAUUAACUAAAUUUCUCCUUGCAACAGAAUAAUUUGUAGAAUAAAGAAAUACCUUUUCUUUUACUAUUAAACAAAUGCAGAAAAACAUAAAAUGUUUCAUUUAAAUUGGAAUGAAGACAUUAAUUUCAGGGUAAUGUAAUUUUCUUGACAUCUUCCAGUUUCACUAGCAAAAGAAGAGACGUAGCUCAGUGAUUUUGGUUAGUUCUUAAGGUACCAUAAGGUUCUAUGGCCUCGGCAUACAAGGAAAUGUCUUCAGUUGCUAUUGGAUAUGCUUAUAAAUGAAAAUUGGGCUAUAAUAUUUCAAAUUAAUGAGUUAUUGUUUUUAUUGUCUAUUCUUUGUUCCAAAUCAGAAUAACUAGAAAGAACAGAGGGUACAACCAUGACUCUCUUCGCUCAAGGCCAUAAUUUUGGCAUCUUCUUUGGCCUGUUUCUCCUUUGACCCACACAUCCAGAACAUGCUAAAUCUUACCACUUCCACUUGAAUAUUUCUAAGUUUUAAUCAUUCCGUUCUGUUUGCACCGCUCAAUUUUUCUUUUUUUUGGUCAAUGCCCUGGCUGCUUGUGCCCUGUAAUCUUAGUAUGCACAGGGAUCAGCCCUGCUCAAAAUCGCUGUGGUUGUCACUUCAAAGUACAACCAAGUUGUGGUCUUCUGUUCUUAAGACACGUCAAAUACAAACAUUUGAUUAUUCCUUCCUAAUUUAGUCCUGUGAUUCUGAUCAGUUUCUCACUGUGGGGACAGCUUUUGCAUCUGUUUAAUAACUUUGGACAUAGUUGCCCAGCUCUUCAGAAAAACAUUUUGUGCUUUCCCUUGUACCAGCACAGAAGGGUUAAUCAAAUUCUAGAGAGUCUUCUUUAAAGUUUCUCUUCAACCCUUCCAUGCUGUAUUCAUCAAUGUAAUAAUAAUAGGAUCUAAAUACUAUUGUUUGUAAUUGUGCCCAGAUGGUAAUCCUUGCCCUUUUUCCAUGGGGAAAGAGAUUAACAAUAUGGUGCCUAAUUUGGAAACUUUCACAGGGUAAUAUUUCAGGAAAUUGAGACAUAUCAGUGUUUUCUAGAUUCUCCUUUUAGUGUAUCUCUGUGACAAAAUUGUCUCAGAUACGGUUGACAGCUUCUCAGGGACUGAACUUUAUCUCGGCCAAUAUGCAUCUGUUCUAUUUGAGAUUCAUUUUUAAUAACGGCCUUAGAUAUAAUCAAGUUCUUUAAACAAAGUGUCCUUUGAAAUUGGAAACAAAAGAAAUUUAAACCAGCUAUGUGGUUUAAAUAACUUGGCUUUCUAAUCAUAAGCUGGGAUCAUUUGCGUAGAAAUUCUUGUGUAUGACUGAAGAAUGGGUAAAUUGAUGCCUUGUUCAGGGAACAAUAUCCUACUACCUGAAGCUGGGGUAGUGCAGAGGGCAUAUUUAAAAAAAAAAAAAAAGAAAAAGGUGGGAACAGAGGACAUGUGUUGGAACUCUGAGUUAAUAAGUUACUGCAUAUGCUGCUUUUCUUUCAUUCAUAUCCCUGAGGAAGUUGAUGUCUGAAUACCAUGGGUUUAAUUAUUUUUUCUUUGAAUAUUACAGUUUUAGAAGUUAAUUUUUCAAUUCAUAUAAAGACAGUUAAGAUGAUGCAGGCAGUAACUGUGUCAACUUUGUUAUCUGUUUUACAUCAGAUGCUUGAAUGAAUAAAGAAAUGGCAUUGUUACAGCCCUAAUCAGUUAGCAAAAAAGAAACAACAAACAAAAUAAGUAUUAGACUUCCAGAAAACCUAUACAAGUCUGGUUCACUUGGGGAAAUCAAAAGUCUUGACCAAACUUGAACGAAGGUUUGGAGAAACCCCAGCAUUACGUAUCAUCUUUCUGAGUUCGUGUUCUAGCAAACACUGUGGCUGCUCUGUUUGGUCAACUGUAGAAACGUGCUGCAGCGAGGAACUAGAGCAGUUUGGGUGUUUUUGUAUUUAUCUGUGUCCUUUGAAAGCAGGCUGUGAUAUCAACGGCUAAGAUGUUCAUAUGUGCUCAGCACUAAAGGCCUAGAAGAGAUCUGCAGUGGUUCACAGGCAACCUGGCGUAAUGGAAACAAGUGGCUGAAGGGUACUGAGAUGCAGUUACUAAGGGAAUUAAAACCAAAAAACAACAGGUAAAAGAGGCUUCUUGCGCAAGUGUAUUUACUAUGCAUGAUGUCAGUAUACUUGCAGUAAGAUGGUGUUAAUGUAUUUGUCAUGUCUAAGGGUGGGAAAGAGAUUCCAGCUGUAUUCCACAUGAAGCAGAGCACUCACUUUCAAAGGUAAGUUACAUUUUGAUCUUCAUCAUGUGGCAGCAAAGACCAAGUUACUACAGAUUACAUCUUUUAGUUUAAUUUGUCAAAAACAGGCACAUGGCAAAGAAAACUGGAAAGGAGUAGCAGAGAAAGUGGUUCCUUCUGUGACAAGACAUCUUGAGUAGAUAUAGCACCUUUCUGCUUAAAAGGUGUGUGUGGUAGUGCUACAAGGAUGGAGCCACUAUGAUAUGCCAUUGUUAGAUGAGAUUUCCCAUUUCUGGCAAAGGAAAACUUCGGUCCAAUGAUCCAAGCUGUAGCUUGGCAGCAACAAACUUUAAGGAAGAAUCAGUGAGUAACAGAAAUACCGCAUUGGCCUAAUUUAACACUUCAGAAACUAGGACACAAAUCUUGGUCUGGUCUCUCAUUUUUUUUCUGGUGCCCGUAUUUUUGUUUUUAUGAAGAGAAGCGGCAGUAUGCUGGCUUCUGGUGCUGUAUGCAGAUGCUUCUGCUGCUGUAUUGUAAAUCUACACAGUCACCCUCCUCAUCUGAACAAACCUGGGACUCUUCUGAAAUGGACCAACACAUGCAUCUCCAGAUAAGCAUGUAAUGAUGUGCAAUUCUACAGCUGGAAUGUAUUUUGGUCAUACAUUACGUCUCACUUUAAAGGUGAAAUUGUCAAUAGACAAUGAUUUUUAAUGUUUUACAAGCAGAAUCUCUUGAUGCUGAUGUGAUUUCAAUAUUCAGGCCACGUAUGUAUUCCUUCAAAUAACAUUAAUAGUCUAACACUUCAUAUUAGCUUUAUAGAAAGUUUUAAAGGAAUUGCAUAACUUUGUAAAACAUCUUUUUUAUGCAAUAUAUAAUGUAUACAUUUUAAAAAAAGAGUAUUUGAGAAGUCAUUCAGAAAUAGGCAUUUAAAUAAAGGAGGAGGUCUUUAGCUGGUUCUUUGCCCAAGCUACCAUGAAUUUGGAUGCUUAUUUCUUAAUAAAACUAAUGGGAUAUCAAGUUUAAAAAAUAGCUGCCGAAAUUCUGGCUCUAAGAUAUUAGAGAACUGGGUAAUUAUAUAAGGUACUGAUUUUUUUACAUGAGCUUAUUUGGGGAAUAGCAAGAUAGUUUAAUUUUUUUAUAAUAAAAAUGCAGGAAUUUGUCAAAAGUGAAAUUUUUUCCAGGUUUCAUUUUUUCAAAGCUAAUAUUCAAGUACAAUUUGUCAUUCUAUGGUAUAAGCAAAACUGAAGAGUAAUAAUAAAACAGAAAAUAGGUGAUGCUACAUAUGUAGCAUCUCUCUGUAAGAAGUUUACGUUAUGCUGAAUCAUGUUCUAUUACAAAAUCUACAACUUCAGUUAAAUUGCAUUAAACUUAAAAAUACAUACUAAUAUUUCAAUGGCAAUUCGGUCCUUAACUUGCUAAUAGAUGUUUCUGUCUUGAAUUGAAAUAGAGGCAUUUUAUGCACUCUGCUCGUUAAUAAUACUAAAGAUUCAGUCUAACUAGGGAGCUGGUUUGUUUUUUCACAGAAGUCUGACUUACCACAUGAGCAUCAGAUGCAUAAAUAUAUUCUGAAAAAGAUCAAAAAUCAGUCCAAGUCAGGUCAUUCAUUGGGAGGGAGAGAGGAGAAAAGAGUAAGCUGAAUCGCUCAGUCAGCUUCUCUCAUUUCCACAUCUUUCCAAUACCCGUUUUAUUGACCCUAAAUCAUUAAGACAGGUCCUUGUUAAUUAACAUUCAUUUAAAUUCUGUUAAAUUGCUAAAAUUGCAUUAUAUUGGCAGCAGACGUAAAACAACCUAGUAGAGAAAUUGUGCUGAGUUAUACCUCUUCAGGGUCUGGCCUGUGUUUCAGCACAUGCUUGAGUAUAACCUCAACUGUUUUGUCUGGCUGUAUUAUUUCAUUCAGUUAUGUGUAUGAAAUCCUUAUAGGCCUUAAUGUAUUCAGAAAUGCAUCAUACUCAAUGCUUUCUUACAGUAAAUACUGUAAAAGCUUGGACCUAGAAAGAACUAGUACUAACAUAUUCACUAUUUCUUUUGUUCUUAAUUAAAUAAAACUGAAGCUUUGACUCAAAGUAUCAGGCUGCAGAUGCCUGAAUAAUAGUGCUUUGACAGAAAAUAUGUGGAAAUAUAUGCAAUACCUUACCUCUUGAAUAAAAACUAAGAUUAUUGUCUGCAAUAUUAAGCAUUCAAAGGUUAUCAUAAAGUAUUAUAUACCAUUAUCUUGAUUUCUGACAUUGUUGGAGAUCAAUUUGGGUUUACCAUUCAAAGUAAUGAUGGUCUAAUAAGACAUCUGGGUAAGCAAAUGUCCAGAAGACGACAUGUAAAUGUAACUCUCCCGCACCCCCUGCCCCAAAAAGGAGGAGAAAUGUAUCAGAAUUCUGUAAUUGUGACUUAGUAACUAUUUCUUCUGGAAAUGCAACAUGAGAUUAAUAAGAAAUAGCAAAAUUAUGCAAUUAAGCUAAUUAGCUCAUUAGUGUGGAAGUAUUCUGUCAUUCUAAGCACAGAAGGAAUUCAUCUGAAUAAAAAAGCAGACAGCAAUAAAUUGUGGUAGGAGACAGAAAUCGUCUCAUUUUAAAAUGAUAAAUUUACAUGUUUCAUGUCUGUCCUCUAAACCUAAGCACAGCACCAGUAUUUCUUAGGCUAAUUUUAUUUCUAUUAAUUGUUAAGAUCAAGUUUUUCAUCAUCCUUCUGUAACCUCAGCCUUCUAUAUUGCCGAGGAAGUCAUGUAGCAAAAGUGUUCCAGUUUCAAACAACUUGCCUCAGAAAUCUUUUCUAUUUAAAUCUAUUUUUGUAGCUCCAAGUUACUUUUCUUCCCCUUACAAUGCAAUAAGCCCGUUUAGCAUUCCUAAUCAAUACUGCAUGCAGCUGCAGUAAUUGAUGAGCCUGCUCUUUUAGCAUCUUAGCUGAAGCCCCCCUUCUCUCUCACUGCUGGCAGGUUAUUGAAAGCAGCACCCACUGCAUGCCUGUAGCUUAAGAAAACUCAGAGCCGUAUCAGAAACUGCACACCAACUAAAGGCGUGAAAUGGUUUUGCAACUCUGAUGGGUUUGCUACUUUUCCUUCCUCUGUAUGGCACAAUGAUGUAUCCUGAUUCUUUACAGGCAUUGAGGCAUUGUAUUUAGCUGUCAAUGGCAAACAGGUAAAGCAGACAGCAGUUUUACAAGAUCAAGUAACAGGUCCGUCAUAACUUACACUAAUCUUGGAAAGAGGCAUGCAUUGAGAAAGAAAAAGAUGGAAGAAGAACAACACAUGCAAAGCUAGAGAUAUGUAUAUUAAAACUGUUACCAACUGUUUAAAGAAAAGACCUUAAAAUGGUGAUCAUGUGUAUGUGUGUAAGUGCAACUUAAGAAAUGGCAUUUCCUGAGCUGAGAAACGUUCUAUGAAAUUCACAUUUACUUCACUUUGUAAUGAGUUCAUCCGUGGCUAGAAACCAGAGAAAGUUGGUCAAUUUGAUACCAAAACUCAAAAGUCUAUUAAAGGAGAGGUAAACCACUCCUAAGCAAUGAAGUAUUGCUGUCAUUGCACUUGUAUGCUACAGUUGCACAACACCGUAUGAUUAAAACCUUUUGCAAAAAUACGAAUGUGCAUAAUACAUUUGUCAUUCUGUCAAGUCCUGUAGUGUUUUUUAAAUUUCUUUUCUUCUUUGUGGCUAAUCAGAUUUGAGCCAAAACCCAGAAGACCAUUCACAAAUAUGUUGCUGCAGGCAACGUUAAUCUAGAUUAAUUCUUUAAAUUCACAAAGCAAACGCUGAUAUGAAAAUUCGAGUUAUACAUACAUACCAAACAGUUUUCAAUAAAAGCAGAAAUAAACUGUAUAUACAUUCUUGAUUUGAUUUAAAUGUGGCAGUACUGACUUCCAUGGUCAACAUGUCAUCUAAGUAAAACUGUGGCUAUACUGAAGUCAGUGAAAAAAAUUAUAAUGAUAUAAAGAUUGUAACUCAGUGAAUUUUAAAACUGAGGUUGAAUAUAUUCUGAAGAAAUGAUUGAUGAGUUUAAUUUGCAUUAGAAAUAUAUAUUGAUACCACUUCAGUAGAAAGCUACAUUAUGAAAGGGCAAGCCAUAUAUCUGGGUGAAAACUGGUAAUUAUUGAUAAGGAAGCAGUAUCAGAGCAUACUUCAAAUUACAUUGUGUAAGUGGGUUUUGGAUAAGAUCCUAAACAAAUUAACUUAAUGUUUAGCUUUAGUGGUGAGAAGACUAUUUUUGUCUGAAACUAAUUAAAUAAUGUGUUUUCAGUAUUGUGUAAAGGCAAUAGUGAGAAUACAGAAUCUGAUAAAAGGAGCAUUCUGUUUGAGAGUAACUUAUUUGUAACUUUCACCUAUGUGAUUUUGCACAAUAUUAAGAAGAAAUACAAAUCCAUUCAUAUUCGCUGCUCACUGUGAAACAAGGAGGUACCCAGGGCUUUCUGCUAAUUGUAUUGUCUUAACGCAUUUCAGAGUUGCAUUACAAAAAAUUGAUAGCCUCCAUCACUGGACACUUUUCAAAAUCCUAAGGUACAUAUUCAAUUUCCAACCUGGAAAAUAAUCUUUUUGGGUUUAUUAAUUAUUUUAACACUGUUGAAAGGGUCUACACAAAUGCAAAGAUAGUCUUCUGAUUUCAUGCUCUGUGGUUUGGGUUUUUUUAUUUCCCUCUUCAAGUAUGAAAUCUUCCAUUUGGUAAUACCUUUUGUCUGAAGAAUAAUUUCUAUUCAUUUAAUGAUGUGAUAAACACAGCUUAAAACUUUUUUGGUGCCACAAAAUCUGUUGUGAACGAGGCAUCUGUAGUCACAAAUUUAUUUGAUAUAUACUUCUUGAAAUCCAAAACAGAUGUGCAGAUGUGUUGAGUAUAUAGUGUUAUGCUAAUAACUACUGCAGAGAAUUUUAGAUACUCACUAGCUAGUUUCAAGACAGGGUUGUAUCGAUGUGGUCUGGAAUUAAUUUGGAGCCCUUCAGGCCCAUCACUGAAUCCUUCCAUGGACCAGGCUUAAAAGCCAAGAGUUGUGCCAAAUACUCUGCAUUUAGAAUUAUCCUUACAUCAAUGGAAUUUGUUCAUAAUUUAAGCACGUAUGAUGCACUGUCUGAGCUCAGUGAUCUGUCAGAACGAUUGCAGACAAUGGACGUUACGCUGCCAGAAGCUCUCUCAUUUGUCUGGACAGGCUUAGAUUUCUGCUUGCAUUGUUGUUAGUUUAAGAAUAUGUGCAAUAAAGAUGGCAGUGCCAAAUAAAAUUUGUACUAUGGAAACAGGGAUAUGCAUGACAGCAAGGCUGUUAAAAUCCAUGUAGCAAAACAAGGAACUUGGCAAACAGUAAAAAAUCCUGGCUGAUGAUAGCAAGAGUUUUAAGACUAAAGCUUACUCAAACAUCUGUAUUUUUCUGCAUAUUAAUUCUAUAUUGUAGUCGUUCCUAAUCAAAAACUGAAUCCACGCUAAGAAUGGGCUGAGUCACUUUUUGAAAAGUGUGGUCCACAAAUACCAGGAUUGUUGCUUAAAUAGUAACUGACUAUUACAGUAAGUUUAACUCUCCCAUAGAACCUGAAAAUGCCUGUAAGAAGUGUCGCAGGAAUCCUUAAUGUCUUGCCAGGAAUAGUAAGUCAUUCCUAGGGUCUUUUCUCUCUCUCUCUUUUUUUUUUUUUUUCUUUUUUUUUUUUUUAAGGUAGUUUAAUAGCCUCUGGCAAACUUAUUUCUGUAUGUGAAUGUAUUUCCAUUUUCAAGCAGAAACUUUUGGCAGUAAUAGAUGUGCCAUAAACAUUGUGAAUGUUUUAUUGUGUGAUCUACAUAUAAGUACUUAUUGUAAAAUAUUUAUGAAAUAUAAAUGCAUAAAUAAGAAGGUAAUACUUUGUCUAGCCAUUAAUUUAAUAUGACAAUAAUGUCCAUCAUAAGGAAAUGGAAUCCAUUAGUGGUCACGUGAAUUACAAAGGCUUUAUUUCUGUAUCACUCUGUUAUUUCCAAUCUGAAAGAACUAUAUUUAAUCUUUUCAUAGGUAGAAAUUUUGAAAAAUUUCAUCACUAAUAUAACUGAUACAGUGUUUGUUCAUGAACUUGUGCAUCAGUCAUAGAUGUCUGUCUCAAAAUGUUAUAUAUCCCCUCUUGAAUGUUUGAUGACACUUUGGUUUUGAUUCAGGUAUGCUCAGUCAAAAAUAAUUCCAACAAUAUGAAUCAACAGUAGCAAAUAAUAUAUAUUUGAAAGUUUUUAUGCAGCUCUGUGCACACUGAAAUUAUCUUUUGUCCUCAGCAACUUAAAACAAUAACUGCCAUUCUUUUUCAUUGAAAUAAAAAGCUUAACAAAAUUUCAUAACACUCCAAUAAUGUAUUUCAUAAUAAUCCCAUAAAUUAUGAUAACAGUUCUUCAGUUAACUUUUGGUGACUCAGACAAUACUAUGUAAACUGUUUAAAUCACAACUUCUAGGCUAGCAAGCAAUUUACAGCUCAAAAUAUAUUCUUAUUAUACAGAAAUCCAUCCUCACUCAGAAAGAAGAAAUAGAUGUCAUGCCCAAGAAAUACCUAGCAAUAAUAUCCAUGUGAAUUUCUCUCUAAAUACAUUUUAGUUUUAUUCAAACAAGAAUUUACAAAUAAAAACUACUUCUGUGACCAGGAUAUGCUACAACAGCUCUUGUUUGUCCCAGGACCGGACAUAAAGAGCUAGACUCUUUUCUGGAGUUCUCUUUCCACAAGGAUUAUUUCAGCCGCUUUCAGCACUGCCUGGUCUUUCCCAGCCAGCUUUGAUGAUCAGACACAGUUAGUUGCCCUGAAGGCCUGUCCUGAAAAGGAUAAAUUAUGUCAGUUCACAAAAGCUAUGGAUUUUAAAAAAUUAGGAAUAGAUUUGAAAAAUUUGUGUAGUUAACAUUUUUCAUGACAAAAUAUUCCAGUAUUUUAUAUUAGUCAGUAGUUUAAAAAAAUGUUAAUUUGUGGCAACACAAAUACAAGACUGUCAUAGAGAAAGAAAUGUCUGCACCUCUACUGAAAUUUGCAAAAGAGUAAGAAAGGAAUUUGGUGUCGUUUAUAGAGACAAGUUACAUUUUCCCUAUUUACAGUACUAAAUACAAAACUAUUUUUUUUUCUUUGUGAGCAUUUUUGAGUUAAUCUUCAAAUUAUUAUAAAGACAUGGACCUACUUUUAGAGCAGCUGUCAAAUUUUUGCCCUCAGCCUUGACCUGAUGAAAACAUCAUCAAAUACGACCAAUGUCGUACAAGAAUGCUUACAAUUAAGUAGUCUUUUUACCUUAUAAAAUAUCUGUUUAUGAAGUAAAUUUAUUACCUGCAUUAAAUCAAAUACAGACUGUUCACACUGUCGAGAGAGUAAGAUGGUUCUCAAAAAACUUAAGUCAAAACGUUCAGUACUGGAAGUAUUAUGACAAUAUACAAUUUAAUCUUAAGAUUGAUGAAACCAACCUUUGUACAUGAAGCUGAAAUGUUUGUAUGUUUGUCAAUGUGGGAUAAGGGUGUUGGGGCCAUUAUUUAAACCCAGUUUUAUUUUAGAGAUUAAGAUCCAGGUUUGUGGCAUUAAAAUCAAAAGACAGAAAUUAAUGACUUGAGAAGUGUAAGAGACUCUUAAUGUGAUUAUCAACAUGGUGACUUCAGACUAAAUUAGAUGUAGUCCAACCACAUACAGCAUAUCAAAAUGAAGUUCAUUCUCUUGAUGAUCGUUUUUAAGACAGUCUUGUACUCUGUUCAAGAAGAAGGUACCUACCCCCUCUCAUGUUGGCCUAGAUGACUGAUCGUCAAAUUGACAUUCACCACAAUACAAAAAAGGGAGCAAACUGUACAAAUUAAGUUCUUCCUGUGUCAGGAUUUUGCUGUGCUUGUUUUCUCACAUGUGAUUUAAAUAGGAAUAGCAUUGCUAUAAAACCUUUGAGAGUUACUUGCCUAAUGCAGCUCGCUCUGCGUUGCCACAUGUUCUUGCCUAUGCCACCUAUUCCAGGAGCAGCCUGACUUUUCCUUGGCGGCUGAGCUUUACUUCAUCCUCCCUCUUAAUGCAGAUUGACGGUGAGUGGUAUUCCAAAAGGGGGCUUGGCGGAAUGUGGCCUUUUCAGCAGAAGAGGAGGCAUAAUGGCUUUGCCUUUUAGUUCCUGUAUAUUAAUCUCCGCAGAGCAAUGCCUGUCACCUCUCAGAUGUCAGAUGCUGCUUGUAACUAUGCUGGAAACAUGACACAGAACAAAAUGGUAUACAUUUCUCUUGAGACUGUAUAUGUGUGGUUUAGGUUAGCUAUUUUUUCACUGCUGCACUUUGUUUAAACAUUGUAUCAGCACUAUUGCGAGCUGGCUUGAAAAGUUGUUUUGUCCAUGAAUUUGUCCAGUUGCUCUCUAAAUACGAGAGGCCACAGUGUGUUCAGGUGCAAAGGUUUUCACAGCACAGGUAUGACACGUCCCAGGAAUUACCGCCUUGUCUUUCCUUGAACCUGCUGCUUUUAAUGACACCAGCGCUGGAGGGAAGAGAGAAGCAUCGUACCUAUUCAGCAUCUCUGUGCCAGUUGUGAUUUGACGAGUGUACAUCACCUUUCCUCCCUUAUCUGUUACCUAGCCUGAAGACUUCUAGUCUUUACCGUGAUUCUUUAUAUGAAACUAUUCCAUAAUUUGAAUUAUUCUUUCUGCCUUUCCCAGUGUCUUCAGUACUGCCGCAUUGUUUUAAGGUGGGAAAUGAGAGUCAUAGCGGGUAUUCAAAUCUGAACGGUGUCAGGGGCAGUAUGGUUUUACACAGUGACACAGUAAUGCUUUACAUUUUGUUCUCCCUCCUAUAAUUUCUAACAUUUAAUUGGGUCCUUCCUGAGCUUUGGACAUCUUUUUGUAAAGCUACCGAUUGUGUCUUCAUUUCUCUGAAGUGAUCCUGAUUAUCAGGUUGCCAAUUGUGCUUCUAAAACUGAGAAAACACUAUUUUUCCCAACAGAGAUGUUUUAGAAGUAAUUAUUUAAAUAUGAGGAUAGUUUUAGUUGUACUUUUCAGUCCUGUAGUCUCUUAGACAGUGAUUUCUUGUACUAUGUUGAUUGCCGCUUGUCAUUCACUUUGUUUCUCCACAAUUAAAUUUGUAUUUCUCCAAUCCUUUUCCUAUGAAUUCAAAGCUUCUGUAGAACUAUGCAAGCACAUCUUAAUACUGGUGUUAGGACUGUUACCAAAGAAAACAUUUGAUGCAUUUUCCUAUAGAUUUUAGUAUUAUAAAAUGAAUACUUAUGCCACGGAUAAUUGGGAUAGUUUUGUAGAUAUUUAUUAAUGGGUCAGAUACAGCGGUAGCAAAAUGAACGUGCAGUUGGCCCCCGCAUUGCCUCAUCAAUGUGUCUUAGGGCCUGGAGAAAACAUCAGUUUAACCAGCUUCAUCACUCACUAUUGUUUUUUCUGCUGUGUCUAUCAGCUGCGUCUGUGUUACCGUAGCCUUUUGUCAUGUGGAUUUUUAUCUCCCAUGAAGCUGUCUAAAACUGUCAGAUCAUUUCGUGCAGGCCACUGUACCACCAUUAAAUACAGCAAGGGUGACGUUUUCUGAAGUGCAGAGGUCAACAUAAUGCUUACGUAUCACUUAAAUUUUACUGAAACUCUCGUUUAAGGCCUUCAUUCAAAUUUUCUAACAACUUUGAAUAACUGACAAACCACUAAUUUCAGUAACUGCCAUAUUUGGGUGAAAUAUAUAAAAAAUGCAUCCUUUCUGCUUUGAUGCCUUUAUUAUCCAAAGAGGAGGUCUUUAAUUUUGCCUUGCUCAUUCCUUUAUCUCAUUUUGUAUUUAAAUAUUGUACUCUCGGUUCAAAUACAUCAGCGGGAAAUAGGUUGGGUGCUUUUUCACACCAGUGCACUGAGAUGUAAUCAGAAAGAGAUUACAAACCCACUGGCUUUAGCCCUGCCUAUGGAGGGCUCAUACUGAAGCCUAAAGGGCAAGCAGGAGCAUUCAGAAGGAAGUGAAUGACUUCCUUCCGCCGUAAGCACUUCCCCUUUCUAGAGAUUAUUUCUGCGUCUGACAUCCUCUUGUGCUGCUGCCUUGGGAAUAUGGUAACAGUUGUGCCGCCUGAAGCAGCAGAGCACAGCUGGAGUGCCAUUCCAUGCCACCCUUCCUGCGGUCACGUGACCCGAAGCCAUUUGCUUUGGAAUAAAUUUUUAAUAGCUGGACAUCUGGUUAGUUUGGUUUUUAAUAUAUUUUUCUAUCAGUUUAAUAAAGGAAAAAAAUAUUACUCGGGAAAAGAGUUAUUUAAUAAACCUCUACAAUAGUUCA